UACGUAGGGGGCGAGCGUUAUCCGGAAUUAUUGGGCGUAAAGGGCACGCAGGCGGUCCUUCACGUGCAGGGUGACAGGGUGACAGCUCCUGGCUUAACUGGGAGAGUGCCUUGUAAACGAGAGGACUUGAGAGCGAGAGAGGGAGACGGAACUCCAGGUGGAGCAGUGAAAUGCGUAGAUAUCUGGAAGAACACCAACGGCGAAGGCAGUCUCCUGGCUCGUCUCUGACGCUCAGGUGCGAAAGC
rnacentral:rRNA from 1 species